AUCGAGGCCGGACGCUUGUGUGGUUGCGAAGCAUCCUUGAAGGACCCCCUUCUAAAGGUAAGAGAUCUGAUCUCUUUUACGGUUGAGAUAUGAUCUCAAUCUUCAAAUCACAAGAAGUUAUAAUUUAUGCAUAUUUAUUUGAAUCACACAAUCCUCGAAAUCUGAGGGCUUUGUGAUAUUUGGUGUCAAAGCAAAGGAUUAGUGGAGACUAUCCGAUUUCCGAAAACUCUCACGCGUGAUCGUGUGACGAAGCGUGGCUCUCCAUCCAAGGGCUCAUGUGAUGAGUGCUUUGAUAGGCACGCGCGAGUGUCACCCUAUGUAUUGGGACUGAGCCCGCGCCACAUGUGAUAUGCAGUUGAAAUCUGUCUUCGACUGGUACCAGAGUCAAAAUAUCUAAAAUAUCAAGCUUGUUUUGGGUUAAAAUGUUUAACCCGUUCUUUCCGUAUAAAAUUUUCUGAAAUUCAUGCUUAGCCCUCUGCACGCACACCAUCAAAUUAAAUGAUAGCAUUGUGAACUGAUUGCACCUGCCACAAAAUGGAGUUCUAAUAGCUUCUUAGGCGAACUCUUCAUUCUGCAUCCCAUCAAAUUAGGAAAUAUCUCCAUUAACUCUACUAUACUCCAUCACCCUUCUAACCUUAAAGCUAUUUCAAACUAAAAACACAAAGUUAAUACUUCUCAUCGAAUUCAGAUUAUCAUACAAACAUAUCAUGUAUUAUGAACAUAUGCAGAAGCUAAUACUUCAAAAUUCUAAAAAGAAUCUACCGCAAAACCUAUUUGUAUUGAUUGAAUCCACACACUAAAAAUAGAAUUGAAUCUGAUUCAAACAUGAAUCAAACUUGACCAAAUCCAUCCGCUAAAAACAUAUGUGCUAGUCAGCUCUAGGUCCUAAACCUCAACCCUGUUCGCCAACUUGGCUAAUGACCUUAUAUGAGUGAGCCCAAGCUGAAUAGACUCAACCAUAUGUGACAAAGAACAACCAAAAGUAGUUCAACAUGUCACGAUUGGCUAAUAAAAUUCAGACUUUAUCGACACAGGCUUGGUGCAGAAGCUAUUAAUUCACCAUAACAAGUCAUAUGGUUGUAUAUGUGGGGAAUGGAAUUUAAAGAUAAAAUAAAUUAGAGCUGUUAUCUAUGCAUUCCUCUCACCAUCUUCCUAUCAAAAUACAUCAUAUCUUUCGAUUUUUCUUAAACACUUUAAAUGACCGUGGAUACCGAAUUCACUACUACAGUGGUAUCCAACCCAGCUAUCUAAAUCAAUUUCAAUGCACUAGUGGUUCUAAUUUAAGUACAUUGAUUUCACCAUGCAAAAUUCAGCACUAAGUAAAAUUAUUAUGAAGGAAAAAUAUCAUUCUACACCGAGCUACUGCAAUCUUAUUUAAUUAGCUUACAGAAGCAUCAUGUGUAUUGCAAACAUAUGCAGAAGUGAAUGCUUCAAAUUCAAAGAAAUGCGAGUUAGAUAUACCAGGAUCUAGCACAAACACUAUUUGCAUUGAUUGUAUCUAUACACUACAAAUAGACUUGAAUCUGAUUCAAACGUGACUCAAUCUUGACCAGAUCCACCCACUAAAAAUAGAUACGCUGGUCAGCUCUCGUCCUAAACCUCGAUUCUAUUCUCCAACUUGCUGUGAUCCUGUAUGAGUGAACCCAAGCUAAAUAGACUCAAUAUUGUGAGACAAAUAAAACCAAAAGUACUUCAAGAUGUCAUGUGUGGUUUAUAAAAUUCAAACAUUAUAGAUACUGGCUUGGUGAAGAAUGUUAUUAGAUCAGCAUAAGCAAUCGUACAGAAGUACAUGCAGAGAGUGGAAUUUAAAGAUACAUCUAUCACAUCUUCUUCCUGUUGAAAUCUAUCGUAAUGUUUCAGUUAUAAUAAUGAGAAUUAAGUCCAGCUAUUGUUUAUAACCCCAUUCCCCACCACAGCAGUAUCCAUCCCAGCUAUCUAAAUCAUUAUAGGUGCAUCAGUCAGUACUAAUUUCAGUUGAUUGAUUUCACCAUGCAAAAUUUAACACCGAAUAUAAUUGAUGUGAAGGAAAUAUCAUGCGACGCUGAGAUACUACAACCCUGUUUAUGUUGAAAAUAACAAUUUUGACUUAUUUAGAACAGAUCAUUCACCCAACUGGUUCUAACUUCUAUAAAGAAAAACCAGAAAACAUUCAAUGAAAACAGAACUUAGAUCGCCUAAAGAAGUAAGAAGAAAAAAACAAAAUGUCCAAAUUUAAUCAAUCAUACGCAUGUAGAAUAAUCCAUGGGCGCAAACUAAAUCUACUUAAAUUUUCAUCCAAAUAUUUCGAGACAAGCAACAAGAGAGAGAUAAAGAAGGAGGUUUAACUGAUGGGGCAGGUAAUGAGAAAUCCGGAAUGGGAGCGUUCGAGAAGCGAAGAGGGGGCCGUGCAGUCGUAGCGAGGGAGAUUGAUCACGGCCGAGUGCUGCUCCCAUGGCGUCAUUCCCUCUGCCUUCUCCCCAUCCCAUGAGCCAAGCAGCUCUUUCACCUCCUCCUUUGAUGGACCUAAGGCCAUUUGUACCUUCUCUUCCGCCUUGUCUGCUUAUUCUUUGGCUUCUUUUCUUCCAGAAUAUUUCGCGAACCCAGAGCGGCUCGGGAACGUAACACUUAUUAAAUUUUGGGAUGGUCCGAGUCUCAUCGGACCGGGCCUUCUUAGUGUCGGGAGUUGGACCUGGCUCAAAGGUAAUUGGAUCAGGCUUGGCCCUAAAACUAGAGCCCAAUCAAAUUUUGGGAUGGUCUUGGGUCACUGCAUAGCCAAACCGAACCUGGUCCAAAGCCCAAGCUCGACUCUAGGUGUGAUAACCGGCCCAAAUUGUGCUCAUAUUGGACUUCAAUCUAAAAUUCAAAACAAAAAAAAGGGAUCAAAACAGAGGAACUGCAUUCCUCUGCCUGAUCCCCCGGCCAUUGAAAUAGGGCUGCAGAGCCGUGGCCGAUGGUGACUCCUUGGGCUGGUAUAAACAGCCUACAGUCGUUACGUCACUGUAUCCGACGAAUGGGUGGCCUAUCUUUCUAUUGAAUCGAUCCUAUACCAUCCCCUUCCGAACUUCUCUUUAAAUUGUCCCUUAUUUCAUGCGAUUGAUCACCACCAAGCCUCCCUUUCCCCCUUUUUCCUCAUCUCCAGUAGCCAUUAUGCCAUCACAGUCAAGUGCCACUGCCCAAAACCACUUUUCUCUUCUUUCUCUUUCUCCUCUCCGUUUUUACCUUUCUAAUUUUUUCCUUUAUUUGCAUCCCAUUUUUCCUCAUUUAAUAUUUUGUAAAACAAAAAAGGUGGGGAAGAAGGAAAUCAUCCCCUAAUAUUAUCUCUCCUCUUCAGAUCAAACCCAAAGCCUUGAGUAAACCUAAGUCAAAUCUCUCUUGCUAGUCGACCUAGACCGAAUAGGUCAGGCCCCAGAUUAGACCUAAACCAAGUGAAUCAGACCCAAAAACCCAGUUGGCCUUAGAUCUGGUAUCUCUUUCUCCUUUCUAUGUUGGUCAACCCAUUCCAAGCAGAUCAUGCCCUUAGUUGAAUCGAGACCGAGUCUCUCUGCCCUUUCCAUCUCUGCUGGCUGACCUCAAUCGAGCCUAAUUUUCUUUAAUUAACCUUUUUUAAUUAAUUAAAAAUUUUGAUCUAAUCUAGGAACAUUAAUUUGAUCAAGUGGAAACUCGGAUCUAAAAUGCGAGGACAUAUGAUCAAGGCUUGUUCCUUUGCAUUUGUACGAACCCCAUCUCAAUUCGUGUAUGGAUCCACGGAAUGAUUAAAAUGCUUGGAUGUUAAACUAGUGUUGGUGGUCAGGACAUGGACUGGAUGCUGCCUUAGGAUAUUUCAAAUUAUUAUAUAAUGCUUUAUAGGAAUCUAAUAAGGCACUAAAUUAUUCUAGAUUUUUGGACAAUUUUUUUAAUUAACAAAUUUCAAGAAAUUUUAGAGUGGAGAUUGAAUGAUACCUCUAUCCCUAGUGUUUAAUCAUGAUCCAAUUUGCAUUAUUUAGAAAUUAAUAUAUUGCUAUUAUAUUUUGAUAAAAUUAAGUAUUGUAUGCACGCUACAUGAAAUUGAAUUGUAAAAUAUUGAAUCAAGUAUGCUAUGAAUUACUUGGACAAGUAUCAUAUUUUAUUAUAUGGAUAAAGGUGUUGAUAUCAUAUGUGUUCUAAUUUUGUUACUCUUUAGUUCAACUACGAUCAUACGAGUUAAGGAUCUGGUCUUCUUCUGCAUCUAUAAUGGGGCGAUCACUAGCGCAUGCCAACUGAUAGCAUAUUAUAGUCAGGAGCUAGUUCCCUUUUGAACCUAGCCAGUCGGGACUGAUCGCUAGCACAUGCUAAUAGAAACAUAUCUUUUCGUGUAAUUUUAGAGCUAGUUUUCUUCUGGGCCUCCACUAGGACAAACACUGGCAUAUGAUCGGUGGAUGAUGAGAGCACAAAAGUGCAAUCGUCAUACCAUCUUAAUUAGUAUUAUAGCUAAUCAUUAAUAAUAAAAUUAACUNNNNNNNNNNNNNNNNNNNNUGAUGAGAGCACAAAAGUGCAAUCGUCAUACCAUCUUAAUUAGUAUUAUAGCUAAUCAUUAAUAAUAAAAUUAACUAAUUAAUAUAGUAUUUGUGCUUCAGUGCGAGUAAUCCAAGAAACUAAUUAACAUUGGGUUUGAGCCUAAUGCCCGGCAGCCCGAGCUCAAGUCAAGCCAGCAUCUCCACGUGAUGGAGCUCAGCCCCACGAUGCAACUGGACCUCUUCCGUCACCAACGGUUUUUAGCCUUCAAUCCCAACGUGCCCCCAUAAUUUUCCAGCGUCCGAGCCGCAUCAAAAUCCUAGCUUCCUUCCCCAUCGCGUGAGCCUAAGCAUUCAAGUCCAGCCGGUCCAUGCGAUCACGGGAGACCGCAGCCCAUUCCAAGCUUCACGCGAUGAAUCCAUCAAUAGCGUGCCAGCAACGCCCACGUCCGCUCAUCCCGGAAUCCCUGCAUCGCGUCCCCCUCUUGGCCCAAAGAAGGAAGUUCACAGCCUCCUCCAAGCGUCCGCACAUCUACCUCCCGUCGAUCCCGCUGCGGC
rnacentral:lncRNA from 1 species